UCAGAUUGCAGGCUGCAACUCGCCUGUAUGAAGUUGGAAUUGCUAGUAAUCGCGGAUCAGCAUGCCGCGGUGAAUACGUUCCCGGGCCUUGUACACACCGCCCGUCACACCAUGAGAGCCGGUAAUACCCGAAGUCAGUAUCCUAACCGCAAGGAGGGAGCUGCCGAAGGUAGGAUUGGCGAUUGGGGUGAAGUCGUAACAAGGUAUC
rnacentral:rRNA from 1 species